rnacentral:rRNA from 1 species
GACGAACGCUGGCGGCGUGCUUAACACAUGCAAGUCGAACGGAAAGGCCCUGCUUUUGUGGGGUGCUCGAGUGGCGAACGGGUGAGUAACACGGGAGUAACCUGCCCUUGACUUUGGGAAAACUUCAGGAAACUGGGGCUAAUACCGGAUAGGAGCUCCUGCUGCAUGGUGGGGGUUGGAAAGUUUCGGCGGUUGGGGAUGGACUCGCGGCUUAUCAGCUUGUUGGUGGGGUAGUGGCUUACCAAGGCUUUGACGGGUAGCCGGCCUGAGAGGGUGACCGGCCACAUUGGGACUGAGAUACGGCCCAGACUCCUACGGGAGGCAGCAGUGGGGAAUAUUGCACAAUGGGCGGAAGCCUGAUGCAGCAACGCCGCGUGCUGGAUGACGGCCUUCGGGUUGUAAACCGCUUUCGCCUGUGACGAAGCGUGAGUGACGGUAAUGGGUAAAGAAGCACCGGCUAACUACGUG